UGGAGGGGAGGUCCUGCGGAAAAAUAGCUCGAUGCCAGCAU
rnacentral:rRNA from 1 species